rnacentral:lncRNA from 1 species
UUUAGGAUCAAUUAAGUUGAAUUGAAUAUUUUAAAUACUCAUUUCGAGUCAAAUCAUAUGUGAUCUUUCUUUUUUUCUUUUAAAUUACAUAAGAUAUUCGAACGAAAUUAAAUAAUCAUAAUAUAUUUAGAUCGCGUAUCAUCUCUAUAAAUGAUAAGAAAGAUAACAAAUAAUAUAUAAAUAAACUGUAUUGAUUUGAUAUCGAUUUGUUUAAUACUUUUAACC